rnacentral:rRNA from 1 species
UACGUAGGGUGCAGGCGUUUAAUCGGAAUUACUGGGCGUAAAGCGUGCGCAGGCGGUUUGCUAAGACAGGUGUGAAAUCCCCGGGCUCAACCUGGGCACUGCAGUUGAAACUGGCAAGCUAGAGUAGGGUAGAGGGGUGUGGAAUUCCAGGUGUAGACGGUGAAAUGACGUAGGAUAAUCUGGAGGAACACCGGUGGCGAAGGCGGCAUCCUGGACCGAGAGUUGACGCGUGAUG